CUGGUUAGCUCGGUCGAUAGAGCGCUCCACUGGGAAUGGGGAGGUCCCUGGUUUGAUACCAGGACCAG
rnacentral:tRNA from 1 species